AGCGAACGCUGGCGGCAGGCCUAACACAUGCGAGUCGAACGGAUCCUUCGGGAUUAGUGGCGGACGGGUGAGUAACACGUGGGAACGUGCCCUUUAGUUCGGAACAACUCAGGGAAACUUGAGCUAAUACCGGAUGUGCCCUUCGGGGGAAAGAUUUAUCGCCAUUGGAGCGGCCCGCGUCUGAUUAGCUAGUUGGUGGGGUAAAGGCCCACCAAGGCGACGAUCAGUAGCUGGUCUGAGAGGAUGAUCAGCCACAUUGGGACUGAGACACGGCCCAAACUCCUACGGGAGGCAGCAGUGGGGAAUCUUGCGCAAUGGGCGAAAGCCUGACGCAGCCAUGCCGCGUGAAUGAUGAAGGUCUUAGGAUUGUAAAAUUCUUUCACCGGGGACGAUAAUGACGGUACCCGGAGAAGAAGCCCCGGCUAACUUCGUGCCAGCCGCCGCGGUAACAC
rnacentral:rRNA from 1 species